GGCAAAGAAGGCUUUCAGGGCUUACCCUCGAUCGUAUCAGUCAAGUAGCCUGAAGUCCAUCUUUAAUGUUACGAACCUUGAUCCAGUUAAGGUUGCUAACUCCUAUGGCUUCCACGCCCCACCAGUCAAAGUGUCUGGGUUUAAUGGCAAGCCACGGCAAAGGAAACCCAGAAACAAGGUGGUACGUUGAUAUCUCUCCAUUUAUU
rnacentral:lncRNA from 1 species